UACGGAGGGUGCAAACGUUACUAGGAAUCAUUGGGCGUAAAGCGCACGUAGGCGGUCUGGCAAGUCGGAUGUGAAAGCCCUCGGCUCAACCGAGGAAGUGCAACGGAAACUACCGGACUGGAGUACAGAAGAGGAUCGCGGAAUUCCCGGUGUAGAGGUGAAAUUCGUAGAUAUAGGGAGGAACACCAGUGGCGAAGGCGGCGAUCUGGGCUGAUACUGACGCUGAGGUGCGAAAGCGUGGGGAGCAAACAGG
rnacentral:rRNA from 1 species